CCUACGGGAGGCAGCAGUGGGGAAUAUUGGACAAUGGGCGAAAGCCUGAUCCAGCAAUGCCGCGUGAGUGAUGAAGGCCUUAGGGUUGUAAAGCUCUUUUACCAGGGAUGAUAAUGACAGUACCUGGAGAAUAAGCUCCGGCUAACUCCGUGCCAGCAGCCGCGGUAAUACGGAGGGAGCUAGCGUUGUUCGGAAUUACUGGGCGUAAAGAGUACGUAGGCGGUUAUUCAAGUCAGAGGUGAAAGCCUGGAGCUCAACUCCAGAACUGCCUUUGAAACUAGAUAGCUAGAAUUAUGGAGAGGUUAGUGGAAUUCCGAGUGUAGAGGUGAAAUUCGUAGAUAUUCGGAAGAACACCAGUGGCGAAGGCGACUAACUGGACAUAUAUUGACGCUGAGGUACGAAAGCGUGGGGAGCAAACAGGAUUAGAUACCCUGGUAGUCCACGCCGUAAACGAUGAUAACUAGCUGUUCGGGCUCUACGAGCUUGAGUGGCGCAGCUAACGCAUUAAGUUAUCCGCCUGGGGAGUACGGUCGCAAGAUUAAAACUCAAAGGAAUUGACGG
rnacentral:rRNA from 1 species